UGGGGAAUUUUGGACAAUGGGGGAAACCCUGAUCCAGCAAUGCCGCGUGAGUGAAGAAGGCCUUCGGGUUGUAAAGCUCUUUCGUGAGGGAAGAAACACCGGCUCUAACACAGUCCGGGAAUGACGGUACCUGUAGAAUAAGCACCGGCUAACUACGUGCCAGCAGCCGCGGUAAUACGUAGGGGGCAAGAGUUAAUCGGAAUUAUUGGGCGUAAAGAGUGCGCGGGCGGUUAUGCAAGACAGGCGGGG
rnacentral:rRNA from 1 species